rnacentral:rRNA from 1 species
UACGGAGGGUGCAAGCGUUACUCGGAAUCACUGGGCGUAAAGAGCGUGUAGGCGGGUAGUUAAGUCAGAAGUGAAAUCCAAUAGCUCAACUAUUGAACUGCUUUUGAAACUGAUUACCUAGAAUAUGGGAGAGGUAGAUGGGAAUUUUCUGGUGUAGGGGGUAAAAUCCGUAGAGAUCAGAAGGAAUACCGAUUGCGAAGGCGAUCUACUGGAACAUUAUUGACGCUGAGACGCGAAAGCGUGGGGAGCAAACAGG